rnacentral:rRNA from 1 species
AGUCAUAUGCUUGUCUCAAAGAUUAAGCCAUGCAUGUCUCAGUACAAGCCAAAUUAAGGUGAAACCGCGAAAGGCUCAUUAAAUCAGUUAUGGUUCCUUAGAUCGUACCCACAUUUACUUGGAUAACUGUGGUAAUUCUAGAGCUAAUACAUGCAAACAGAGUUCCGACCGGAGACGGAAGGAGUGCUUUUAUUAGAUCAAAACCAAUCGGCGGCAGUCUAGUUUCGGCUUUACUGUUCGUCGCACUAUUUGGUGACUCUGAAUAACUUUUUGCUGAUCGCACGGUCUAGCACCGGCGACGUAUCUUUCAAAUGUCUGCCUUAUCAACUGUCGAUGGUAGGUUCUGCGCCUACCAUGGUUGUAACGGGUAACGGGGAAUCAGGGUUCGAUUCCGGAGAGGGAGCCUGAGAAACGGCUACCACAUCCAAGGAAGGCAGCAGGCGCGCAAAUUACCCACUCCCGGCACGGGGAGGUAGUGACGAAAAAUAACGAUACGGGACUCAUCCGAGGCCCCGUAAUCGGAAUGAGAACACUUUAAAUCCUUUAACAAUUAACAAUUGGAGGGAAAGUCUGGUGCCAGCAGCCGCGGUAAUUCCAGCUCC